rnacentral:rRNA from 1 species
AAAGGGUGCGUAGGCGGUUUAUUAAGUCAGUGGUGAAAGACGGUCGCUCAACGAUUGCAGUGCCAUUGAUACUGGUAGACUUGAGUGAGAUUGAGGUAGCUGGAAUGGAUAGUGUAGCGGUGAAAUGCAUAGAUAUGUCACAGAACACCGAUUGCGAAGGCAGCUUACUAUGGUUUUAUUGACGCUGAGGCACGAAAGCGUGGGGAUCAAACAGGAUUAGAUACCCCUGU